CCUACGGGAGGCAGCAGUGAGGAAUAUUGGUCAAUGGGCGCGAGCCUGAACCAGCCAAGUAGCGUGAAGGAUGACGGCCCAACGGGGUGUAAACUUCUUUUAUAAAGGAAUAAAGUGAGGCACGAGGGCCAUGUUGAAUGUACGUUAUGAAUAAGGAUCGGAUAACUCCGUGCCAGUAGCCGCGGUAAUACGGAGGAUCCGAGCGUUAUCCGGAUUUAUUGGGUUUAAAGGGGGCGUAGAUGGGUUGUUAAGUCAGUUGUGAAAGUUUGCGGCUUACCCGGAAACUUGCCAUUGAUACUGGCAGUCUUGCGUUCAGUUGAGUUAGGCGGCAUUCGUGUUGUAGCGGUGCAAUGCUUAGAUAUCAC
rnacentral:rRNA from 1 species